GCUUGCUUGGCUAAGUGGUACAGCGUCUCACUCGUAGAUUUUACAUCUAGCCAAUGAGAAGAUCGCAGGUUCGAUUCCUGCGUAAGUC
rnacentral:tRNA from 1 species